rnacentral:rRNA from 1 species
UACGAAGGGGGCUAGCGUUGUUCGGAAUCACUGGGCGUAAAGCGCACGUAGGCGGAUUUUUAAGUCAGGGGUGAAAUCCCGAGGCUCAACCUCGGAACUGCCUUUGAUACUGGGGAUCUCGAGUCCGGGAGAGGUGAGUGGAACUGCGAGUGUAGAGGUGAAAUUCGUAGAUAUUCGCAAGAACACCAGUGGCGAAGGCGGCUCUCUGGGCCCUACCUGACGCUGAGACGCGAAAGCGUGGGGAGCGAACCGG